rnacentral:lncRNA from 1 species
GGUUCAAGAAAACUACCUAGUUUAGAUUAUUCCCGGCUGCAAAGGACUCACGAACGGCAGCGACUACACGGCUCACGGUGUGGGCGAACUUGCGGAGAUGGGGCUCGCGGACGUUGGCAGAGGACGCAAGCUGAAGUCAAUGGUCAGGGUGACUUUCGUUUGGCCUCUACCAAAAACAACAUAUCCCACCAGGUGUUGCUCCACGUGUCUCUCUUCUCUUCACUGCUCAACUAUUUGAAUUAUGUUAUCCCCUCGUGAAUACUCAACCUGCAUGAAAAACAUUUAAAAGAAACUGUUGAAGAAUCACCCUGCAGCUCGCGACAAAGGCAAGCUCGGACUGGAGGGGCAGCGUGGCAACAGAUGCGGGUUAAGUGCAACUCGGCUGGUCAUGCGGCGAGGGUGUCAAUACUUAGGAAAGGCUUCUCACGUCUUUCUCCAAAAGACAAGGGAUAACCUGCAACACAAAAUUCACGAGGAAGGAAAGUCCUCGUUGAAAGCCUAGCUGCCAGACUUCACCAGUCAAUGUGAAUGUCCUGCAAAGAAAGAGAAAGUGGUCUUUUUGUUCCUUUUUUAUUUGCUCUUUAUGUGCCCCCUUUUCUCUACGUCGGUGGACUUCAGAAAAACGGUGAUUCGCCGGUACUACAACUUCUCAGUUUAGAAUGGUCAGGCUCGAGCUUGGACAGCAGCUCGCCGUUAUUGCUGGGGAUUUCACGGAUGGCUUGUAGAGCUGGAACUUGACGUCAGGGCAGAGCAGGCGGGUGGCGUUGCCAGUGUAGGACACGGGCAACGGCGGAGGCAGGAGCUGUGACGGGCGAGCAGAGGCACGGCUAUGGGUGCAGGCGUCGGGCGAAGGUGCUGCAGGUGUCGCGGACUGAGAGGCAGCGGCGCGGGCAGCAGCAGUGACGGCGUUCAGGUGGGCUGCUGCAACGGUUGCUGCGGUGGUGGCGACGAGCAGAGGUGGCUGCUGGUUGCAGGUCUGCUAGUGCUCGGGCGAAGACGGUGGUGCGCUCGGAGCUCGCUGGAAGGAGAUGCUGGCGCCGGGCAGAGAUGCGGCGAUGCAGCAGCAGCGGGUGGGUUGCAGGUCACGGAUGCGGCGCGGUGAGGCUGGUUGCUUGCUGCACAGCGAGGGCGCGGGAUCGCAGCGGUGGAGGACAGACGGAAGCACAGGCAAACGGCGGCGUCUGGAACUCGAGGACGGCGGCGCGGGCUCGCGGCUGAGGCGGUGCGACUGACGGGUGGAGAUGGCACAGCGAGCAGGUGUCGCAGGGGGUUGCAGGCGCAGUGGACGACGCGGGCUUGCGGGUGAGGCGGAGCAUAUGCGGUGACCAGCAGGUGAAGGUGCAGCAGGGCGACAGCUCGGCUGCUGCGGGGCGGCGUUGGGCGCUGGGUCACCGGCGACUCGCGGGUAGGCGCGCGGCGGCACGCAAGGCGGCAGCGAGCAGCAGGGGUGCGGCGAUCGGCUUGAGUUGC